ACUGGGCCAUUCCCUGAGGGUGGAGGGGGCUGGGGGCUUUUCUCCUACCUGCCCUCUUCCCAGGCCAGGGCCGUGGCUUCCUGACCUAGUGCACACAUGUCUGUCUGUCAAGCUCUCCAGAUACAAUGGGGCAAAAUGACCAACGUGGCCCCCGGGUCCCUGAGAAGGAUGCCGCUGCAGUGGUUAAUCUGAUUUUCUGGCACCUAAAGCCGCUAGGCUGAAGCCUAAACAAACCAAAACAAAAUUUAAAAAGUACAAAACCACCUGAAGCAAAGCCAGGAAGACAGGGAAGGGCCUUAGGCGUCGAAGAUGGGAGGGUAGGGUCGGGAAGAGGAACUCGUCUGACUCCUGGCUGCACUGGGAGAUUCCUUCCUCACAGAGGGCGGCACUGGGGCCAGCUGGGCACCCAUCCCUUUGCAAAAAUGCUGCCCCACGCUCCAUUCUCUGUGUUUAUCAAUUGAUUUUGAGAGUUUUGUGACAUGCCAGUGGCCAGCGUUACAACUAUGAAUAAUAAAUGGACCCAUUUCCUGUUGGGGUUUCCAGUCUUAAGGCCUAAAAAACAAGAUGAACUCCAGAAACACGGCAAUCAUAAGACAAGCUGAAGAAAGUCCAUGUGGAAAGGAAAACUGACUUGCCGUUUUCCACAAAUCUGUAAUAAUAUGCAAACCAUAAUAAUAAAGUACCGUUCCUGCA
rnacentral:lncRNA from 1 species